GGCGGCUGUAGCCGGCUUGAUAAAGUCAGAUAAUGUUGUAUUCGCCUAAUCUACCCCUACAACUCUUAAACAAUACUUUCAUAACACUUUGAAUCAACUCUGUUGUGCAUUAAGUGACCUGACUUGACCAAACCUGCCCAUGCUCUUCAGUCAAUGACGUCGCUUAGUCUCGCGCUUGACACCUUUACUUUGACUCGGAAUCAAUCCCUCGUCUACUCCACUAGCUUCACUGUCGUUGUGCCUGAGCUGAUUGAGUGGUCUCGUCGCCUCUGUCGAGUUUGGAGCCUUCAAAAACUUCGCCCUGAAGUUACCGGGACUUUUCACAUUACCACAAAACAAGCAAUAGUCUUUUUAAAGACUUUUUCCAUCUCCACCUUCCCUUGUGCGGCAGUCUUUGCCACAGAAAUACUCAGACUCCCAUCUCCCAUCCUGUCUUCCCUUGCUGUGCUGCAGACUUUUCAGGCUUGUUCCAGACCAGCCCUGUCAGAGUGGUGUCUGCGUGUCACUUGUGACGCUGCCUGUCAUCGUCUGCACACCCUGCACUACAUUGCACUGCACUACAUUGCACUCAUAUACAACAGAACCCACUAACGCCUACCUGCAAACAUAUCUACGACAAGAACCAAACACUUGCUGAGAACAUAUCUGACUGCACAUACUAUACUCUGAACCCUUUUGAUUGAAACCGCCUUUGAGAUUGAAACCGCCUUUGAGAUUGAAACCGCCUUUGAUUCUCUGAACCCUUUUGAGACUGAAACCCCCUUUGAAUCAUAUUCUGAACCGUUUUGAAACUGAAUCCUUUUCUGAAUACUACUGUGCAUCAUAUUGAGACUCUGAAUAUCACUCUGAACCAGCAAACCCACUCUAAACAUACCUGCAAACAUAUUACUGACAAGAAUUGACCACUUUCUGAUCACACAUACCUGGCUACUAUACUCUGUACCAUUUUGAGACUGAAACCACCUUUGAACUCUGAACCAUUUUGAGACUGAAAACUCCUUUGAAUCCUAUUCGGAACCAUUUUGAGACUGAAACCUUUAAAUUCUGAACCAUUUUGAGACUGAAACCUCCUUUGAACCCUAUUUGGAAUCAUUUUGAGACUGAAACCUCCUUUAAAUUAACGUUUAUAUAUAUAUCAAUAAUACCUGUCAAAGUUGUCUUUGCUGUUACAUGCCUACUUUUAGACCUGGGCUGUGCUGCAAGACUGAACCUGAGCUGUGUGAGGACUUCGAGAUUCCAUCCUAGUUCUGCAUAAAACUGAUCAUCUCAAGAGCUUCCUCUCAUUCUUCAUCAGUGUCAUCAAGUGUUACCUCUACCUAGCCAUUCAAGUGCCAUAUUCAGAAUUGCCACUGAUAAACAAAAUACGCAUUAAGAUAAAAUUGAGGAUAAAUUCAGAAUUUAAUCAAUAAUUAAACUAAAGUAAAUAUUGUGUGUGAAGGUGAAAAUUGGCAUUUUGUACUUUUGACAGCCAGCUUGUUAUUUAUUGGGUGUCAAACAUA